AACCGCUGAUGACUCUCUUAUACUUUUCUGACACCUCGUAUGAGCACUGAGAAUCAGUGCCUGAUUAUAAUUUUAGUCUGAGGUUU
ensembl:snoRNA